GGGGCCAGGGAAGGUGACCCUUGCUCAGUGACGCAGCACGCAGGAGGGGCCCUCCCCGGGCUGCUUUUGCUCUGCCUUGCCCUUCAACCCCUGGCACUGGCCCUGUGCACGAGACUCCAAAUAAAUGCCCUCUUAGACAAGAUAGCUUUGCCCGGGAGGAUCCCACGUGGGCACACGAGGAGACCCCUGCUGGGUGCUCCUGACGACAGUGCCAGGGGGAGUGGACAACUAGAGGCGACCUGAAUGGAAGAACCGGAAUCCGUCCACACCUUGGAACUGUAGGUCACCAUUAAAAGGCAUGAUCUAGACUCAAAGGAAUGAUGAGCAGCACAGAGCACAAAAGCACAGGAGAGCCAGACUUGUUUUCACAUUUGUGUGUCCCGGGGUAUCCUGAUGUUCUCACUCUCCGCUGUAGGGCUGCCUCCCCUGUCCUGAGGCCACCGUGUGAGGAAGACGGUCUAGCGACUGGAGGACGAGAAGCCAUGAGAAGCUUCCCAGCUGAAAGCCAGCACCACCUGCCAGACACAUACGUGAGGACGCCUCGGCCCUUCCUGCCCAGCUGCCCUUCAGCUGAGUGCUGCUCCUGCAUACCCAGCAGAGGAACUGCCACAAAAUCAUGACAAUAAUAAAUCGUUCUUGU